rnacentral:rRNA from 1 species
GUGGGGAAUCUUCCGCAAUGGACGAAAGUCUGACGGAGCAACGCCGCGUGAGUGAUGAAGGUCUUCGGAUUGUAAAGCUCUGUUAAUCGGGACGAAAGAGCCUAGUGUGAAUAAUGCUAGGAAGUGACGGUACCGGAAUAGAAAGCCACGGCUAACUACGUGCCAGCAGCCGCGGUAAUACGUAGGUGGCAAGCGUUGUCCGGAAUUAUUGGGCGUAAAGCGCGCGCAGGCGGAUCCGCCAGUCCAUCUUAAAAGUUCGGGGCUUAACCCAGUGAUGGGAUGGAAACUACAGAUCUAGAGUAUCGGAGAGGAAAGUGGAAUUCCUAGUGUAGCGGUGAAAUGCGUAGAUAUUAGGAAGAACACCAGUGGCGAAGGCGACUUUCUGGACAAAAACUGACGCUGAGGCGCGAAAGCCAGGGGAGCGAACGGGAUUAGAUACCCUGGUAGUCC